GGGGGAUAUUGCACAAUGGGGGAAACCCUGAUGCAGCGACGCCGCGUGGAGGAAGAAGGUUUUCGGAUUGUAAACUCCUGUCGUUAGGGACGAUAAUGACGGUACCUAACAAGAAAGCACCGGCUAACUACGUGCCAGCAGCCGCGGUAAAACGUAGGGUGCAAGCGUUGUCCGGAAUUACUGGGUGUAAAGGGAGCGCAGGCGGACCGGCAAGUUGGAAGUGAAAACUAUGGGCUCAACCCAUAAAUUGCUUUCAAAACUGCUGGCCUUGAGUAGUGCAGAGGUAGGUGGAAUUCCCGGUGUAGCGGUGGAAUGCGUAGAUAUCGGGAGGAACACCAGUGGCGAAGGCGACCUACUGGGCACCAACUGACGCUGAGGCUCGAAAGCAUGGGUAGCAAACAGGAUUAGAUACCCUGGUAGUCCAUGCCGUAAACGAUGAUUACUAGGUGUUGGAGGAUUGACCCCUUCAGUGCCGCAGUUAACACAAUAAGUAAUCCACCUGGGGAGUACGACCGCAAGGUUGAAACUCAAAGGAAUUGACGGGGGCCCGCACAAGCAGUGGAGUAUGUGGUUUAAUUCGAAGCAACGCGAAGAACCUUACCAGGUCUUGACAUCCGAUGCAUAGCUUAGAGAUAAGUGAAGUCCUUCGGGACAUCGAGACAGGUGGUGCAUGGUUGUCGUCAGCUCGUGUCGUGAGAUGUUGGGUUAAGUCCCGCAACGAGCGCAACCCUUAUUGCCAGUUACUACGAAAGAGGACUCUGGCGAGACUGCCGUUGACAAAACGGAGGAAGGUGGGGAUGACGUCAAAUCAUCAUGCCCUUUAUGACCUGGGCUACACACGUACUACAAUGGCGUUUAACAAAGAGAAGCAAGACCGCGAGGUGGAGCAAAACUCAAAAACAACGUCUCAGUUCAGAUUGCAGGCUGCAACUCGACUGCAUGAAGUCGGAAUUGCUAGUAAUCGCGGAUCAGCAUGCCGCGGUGAAUACGUUCCCG
rnacentral:rRNA from 1 species